rnacentral:pre_miRNA from 1 species
AGCCUUCCGUAUCCGUGUUGAAAUUUCGUCACACACCAUACCACAAGGGCUGAUGAGACUUCCAAGAUAAGUGGAGCG